AAGUCGUAACAAGGUUUCCGUAGGUGAACCUGCGGAAGGAUCAUUAAAGAGUUUUUGAGGUUGGGGGUAUUAUAUGUGUGUUGUGUUGUGUUGUGUGUGUGAUGUAUAUAAUUGUAUCAUACAUUUACCGCUAGCCGUGUAAUGCGGGAGAGUGUGUAUGUAUUAUGAUAUGUGUAAUUUCACACACCUCCACACACACACAAAAAAUAAAAUAUCCCCCAUGACCUUUGCGUAUGUUGUGUUUGCCUGUGUUAUUAUGUUACAUAUUAUAUAAUGAGAGAGACAACUUUUAACAAUGGAUCUCUUGGUUCUC
rnacentral:misc_RNA from 1 species